rnacentral:rRNA from 1 species
UACGAAGGGGGCGAGCGUUAUUCGGAAUCACUGGGCGUAAAGGGUGCGUAGGCGGGUCUUUAAGUCAGGGGUGAAAUCCUGGAGCUCAACUCCAGAACUGCCUUUGAUACUGAAGAUCUUGAGUUCGGGAGAGGUGAGUGGAACUGCGAGUGUAGAGGUGAAAUUCGUAGAUAUUCGCAAGAACACCAGUGGCGAAGGCGGCUCACUGGCCCGAUACUGACGCUGAGGCACGAAAGCGUGGGGAGCAAACAGG